ACCAUACUUGGGUCAAGAGUAUAUGAGUAGCUGCACUCCCCUGCUAGAACCUCCAUACAAGCUCUCAAGGAAUGUGGUAUAAACAGCAAGGCAUAGG
rnacentral:sRNA from 1 species